rnacentral:tRNA from 1 species
UCAAAGCAUUUCGCUUACACCGAAAAAACAUCUGUGAAAAUCUGAUCGUUUCG